rnacentral:lncRNA from 10 species
GAGUGGUACCCGGAAGAGCCCCUCACCAUCAACCUCCGCAAGUGCCUCUUAUGAUGAGGCGGCUGCGCGGCCAGCAGCAGCAAUUCCAGCCAUCAACAAACCAGUUCAAAACCUACAUAUGCAGAGUCUUAAAAUAGCUGCCACCACCGAUGCCCUCUUUCUUCUGUCUUCAGCUUGUACCUGAUCAUGUGAAAGGCUGUGGGUCAGACCUCUCUUCCAGCACACGCAUGACAGGGGUCUACAUGGGACCCCACUACCAGCCA